CACAAAGAAAGGAAAGUUCACUUGAAGUAGCAAUCAAUGCAUCAAGGUAAGAGAACGAAAAGUUGGCUUGGAAUCCUAGGAAAGCAGCCGUCACUCGGCUUUGACCCACACCCGUCUGCUCUAGCAUCCUACGGCAGGGGCAUAUGCUGACUAGAAAGGGAACAGAGACAGGGAAGCCGAGCCGGUCUCCACCCUCUGCUAGCUGGAUUUAGCCACUUGCUUUAGCUCCUGGUUUCAUUUUUCUCAGUUACACAACAGAACUGAACCAGAUGACCCUUAGAAACUCUCAGUUAGGAUUCCAUAAUUGCUGUUAUCAUUUUUCUGCCUGUAUCAGGUGUUAAGACUGUAACUAUACAAAUGAAAUUUCCAGGAAAAUAAAUUAAUCUUGACCUUAAAUAUA
rnacentral:lncRNA from 1 species